rnacentral:rRNA from 1 species
GACGAACGCUGGCGGCGUGCUUAACACAUGCAAGUCGAACGGAAAGGCCCUGCUUUUGUGGGGUGCUCGAGUGGCGAACGGGUGAGUAACACGUGAGUAACCUGCCCUUGACUCUGGGAUAACUUCAGGAAACUGGGGCUAAUACCGGAUAGGAGCUCCUGCUGCAUGGUGGGGGUUGGAAAGUUUCGGCGGUUGGGGAUGGACUCGCGGCUUAUCAGCUUGUUGGUGGGGUAGUGGCUUACCAAGGCUUUGACGGGUAGCCGGCCUGAGAGGGUGACCGGCCACAUUGGGACUGGGAUACGGCCCAGACUCCUACGGGAGGCAGCAGUGGGGAAUAUUGCACAAUGGGCGGAAGCCUGAUGCAGCAACGCCGCGUGCGGGAUGACGGCCUUCGGGUUGUAAACCGCUUUCGCCUGUGACGAAGCGUGAGUGACGGUAAUGGGUAAAGAAGCACCGGCUAACUACGUG